AUUCUCUACUCUUAUUUUUGUUUUUCCUUCUAUGCAUUUUCAUUUCCUUCUUUCUCCUCCAGAUCACGGGUCAUCACUCACCUCCCCAUAACUUCUGCAUAGUUACCAUCUCCCCAUUUUAUCUAUAUUUUUCUUAUUUCUCUUAUUCUUUCUCUUUUUAUGUUUCUCUUCAUUCUUCAUCCUAAUUUCUAUAAAAAAAAUCAAUAAAAUCUUCUCUAUGCUACAAAAUUAUGCAAAAUCUAACAAUUCUACCUCUUUCUUUUAAUUAUUAUUCUUACCAUUCCAGUACUCCCAAAACUCCUCCCAUAAAUACAUCACAGAUAGCAUCAGGAAAGGGAGACCAAACCGACUAAAAGUAAAAAUUUGUUGUUUAGUCCUGAUUUCUCUGCAACAACAACUACAACAAAGCCCAUGCAAAAAUCUAGAUGGAGAGGAAAGGAGCCAAAAGAACAUAAGAAAAAGGCCCAAUUUUUUUUUUCAUUUCAAUUACCUAUAUUUUCAAUAACUUCUCUCUUUCUUCGGGGCAAACAAAGUUGUUUUGUUUCUCCAUUUAGGGAGGAUCCGUUGAAACCAAACUCAACCCGGAAAAAGUACCUUUAUUAGAGGAAGGCUAGUGGGUGAGGGAAGAAAUGCGGCCAGAAAAGCCAUUGGCCAUAACUGUGUUUCGAUUGAAUAUCUGAUUUGAUUCACUUCACUUCACAUCUUGCAUGAAUUGCUGCAUAUCUCUAUUGGUGCCAUAUAUAUAAGUCAGGUCGAAAAGAGUAACGCCUAAAAACAAAAGGAACGCGACCGGGACACGCUAGCGACAAGAAAAUGUCGAGUCAAGCAAAGGGUACAGUGGCUUCAACUAUAUAUAGCCAGAAAGAGCUCUAGAAAUAGAGGCUCUUUCCAUAUUUUUCCAGAAAAAAGGAAGAGAAAAAGCUUCUCUCUUGUAUCCUAGAAAACGAGGAAAUAACCUUGAAGAUUACAUGUAAAUUCACUUUUUCAUCAAUUGAUGAAAGGGAAAAAUUUAAUCUUAAUAAGAUCAAUCAUGCCUCUCUCAUUUCAGGUGAAAUCAUUGUCAUUAACGUUUCAAUCCGAAAUUAAUUAUAU